GUGAGGAAUAUUGCGCAAUGGAGGCAACUCUGACGCAGCCAUGCCGCGUGCAGGAAGAAGGCGCUACGCGUUGUAAACUGCUUUUAACCGGGAAGAAACCCCAGGACGUGUCCUGGGUUGACGGUACCGGAGGAAUAAGCACCGGCUAACUUCGUGCCAGCAGCCGCGGUAAUACGAAGGGUGCAAGCGUUAUCCGGAAUCACUGGGUUUAAAGGGUGCGUAGGCGGAGCGUUAAGUCAGUGGUGAAAUCCUGCAGCUUAACUGUAGACUUGCCAUUGAUACUGGCGCUCUUGAGUGCGCUUGAAGUGGGCGGAAUGUGCCGUGUAGCGGUGAAAUGCUUAGAUAUGGCACAGAACACCAAUUGCGAAGGCAGCUCACUAAGGCGAUACUGACGCUGAGGCACGAAAGCGUGGGGAUCGAACAGGAUUAGAAACCCGAGUAGUCC
rnacentral:rRNA from 1 species